rnacentral:rRNA from 1 species
UGGGGAAUUUUGGACAAUGGGCGAAAGCCUGAUCCAGCAAUGCCGCGUGUGUGAAGAAGGCCUUCGGGUUGUAAAGCACUUUUGUCCGGAAAGAAAUCCUUGGCUCUAAUACAGUCGGGGGAUGACGGUACCGGAAGAAUAAGCACCGGCUAACUACGUGCCAGCAGCCGCGGUAAUACGUAGGGUGCAAGCGUUAAUCGGAAUUACUGGGCGUAAAGCGUGCGCAGGCGGUUUGCUAAGACCGAUGUGAAAUCCCCGGGCUCAACCUGGGAACUGCAUUGGUGACUGGCAGGCUAGAGUAUGGCAGAGGGGGGUAGAAUUCCACGUGUAGCAGUGAAAUGCGUAGAGAUGUGGAGGAAUACCGAUGGCGAAGGCAGCCCCCUGGGCCAAUACUGACGCUCAUGCACGAAAGCGUGGGGAGCAAACAGGAUUAGAUACCCUGGUAGUCCAGCGCCCUAAACGAUGUCAACUAGUUGUUGGGGAUUCAUUCCUUAGUAACGUAGCUAACGCGUGAAGUUGACCGCCUGGGGAGUACGGUCGCAAGAUUAAAACUUAAAGGAAUUGACGGGG